AUUUAUUUAGCAACCCUCCCCCACGCAGCGCUUAGGUCAAGUGAUCUAUGGCUUCGUCAUUAAAGAUUUUGACAAUACACAUUUAGGUCACGGUGGGGCUGUUCAGUUGCUGUGGUAAUACAACCCAUGUAACCAUAUACACUAGCUGCCAACUGUAUAGAUUUGAUUUGAAAGCUCAAAUAAGGAAUCUCAGUCUUUCCAAAUCUUCAGAUUUUUGCCAGUGAAUGAGCAUAAUGGCUUCUACAAAGUGUUAACCAAAAAAACAAUAAUGGUGCUUUGGACAUGG